UACAGGAGGUCCCAAGCGUUGUUCGGAUUCACUGGGGCGUAAAGGGUGCGUAGGCGGUCGGGUAAGUCUGAUGUGAAAUCUCACAGCUUAACUGUGAAACUGCAUUGGAUACUAUUCGGCUUGAGAGUUGGGAGGGGGACUGGAAUUCUCGGUGUAGCAGUGAAAUGCGUAGAUAUCGAGAGGAACACCAGUGGCGAAGGCGAGUCUCUGGGACGACUCCUGACACUGAGGCACGAAAGCUAGGGGAGCAAACAGG
rnacentral:rRNA from 1 species